AAGACUGUAGUUUCAGGGAUUGUUUCUAUAGUUUGCUACUAGAGAAGUUUCUCUGAACGUGUAGAGCCCCGGAAACCCCCGGGUGGUGGUGCAGCAUCCUCUCUUGAGGUGAAGCCGGCUUUUGGUGUUGCUUCACUGCAACUACCUUUUGCCAUGGAUGAUUGUCCUUCUCCUCCUCUGGCAGAGGGAGAGGGAGAGGACAUAAGUCUGAGUGG
rnacentral:snoRNA from 10 species